GCAACGGCAGUGUUCUCCACCCCAGGCUAGUUACUAGGACAGAGAGCAUUCUGGGAAGAGGAGCUAAGCAGCAGUUUGGAUAUAUUUUAUUGAACUCUCCAACUUUUGUUAAACUUGAAAGUGGCUGCCUCCUAUUUUCCAAAUUUUGAGUAUCCCUUGCAACCUUUCUAAAGGCUUCUGAUGCAUGGGUGUCCAAAUGAAGAAAGCACAGAGAUGUGCCACUUUCUGUGUCUCUGUUUUCAGUGGAAAUGGGAACACUGCCUGUGCAGGCAGCCUUGGAAUGAAGGACACCGGAAUAACUAUGUCUAAAGCCUCUCACAGCUGGGGACCAGGUGACUGUAACAGCCCUUUUUUAAUGAACCAUCCAUAUCCUGAGAACUGAGAGUGGCAUCAAUGGUUCUUCUCUUUUUACCUCUGCCUUCCAAUGAUAAACACGGAGAUGAUCUUUUGGUCAGUGAAGUGAUACUGCAGGAUGACUUCCAAGGGCCCAACAUACACAUCACAUGUAACAGGCACACAUUUCGAUUGGAUCCCUGACCUGCAUGGAUUCAAAGCAACAGACCGCUAAAGUGAUGUGCCUAUGUAUAAAACGACAUUGAAUUUUCAGCAGCAAACAGUCUCUGACAUAUAAAUUGAAAAUUACAGGAGCAUGAAAAGAACAAUUUGCAUUAAUAUUUGAACAUAAAAAUUUAUCCUGCAAAAAUUC